AGAAUGAACGCUGGCGGCGUGCUUAACACAUGCAAGUCGUGCGCGAAGGAGGCUUCGGUCUCCGGAGAGCGGCGAACGGGUGAGUAACACGUGGGUAAUCUGCCUGGGAGCGGGGGAUAACCGUGGGAAACGUCGGGCUAAUACCGCGUACGUUGGUGGCUUACGGGUCUGCCAAGAAAGCUGGCCUCUGCUUGCAAGCUAGUGCUCCCAGAGGAGCCCGCGGCUGAUUAGCUAGUUGGUGAGGUAAAGCUCACCGAGGCUUACGAUCAGUCGCCGGCUGAGAGGUGAUCGGCCACGCGUAGGGACUGAGCCACGGCCCAGACCUUCCGACGGGAGCAGCAGGUAGGGAAUAGUUGAACUAGCGGGCGACGAAGCUAGAC
rnacentral:rRNA from 1 species